UACGGGGGGGGCAAGCGUUGUUCGGAAUUACUGGGCGUAAAGGGCUCGUAGGCGGCCAACUAAGUCAGACGUGAAAUCCCUCGGCUUAACCGGGGAACUGCGUCUGAUACUGGAUGGCUCGAGUUUGGGAGAGGGAUGCGGAAUUCCAGGUGUAGCGGUGAAAUGCGUAGAUAUCGUAAGGAAGACCAGUGGCGAAGGCGGGUCUCUGGACAGUUCCUGACGCUGAUGAGCGAAAGCGUGGGGAGCAAACAGG
rnacentral:rRNA from 1 species